rnacentral:tRNA from 1 species
GCCCGGGUGGCGAAAUUGGCAGACGCACCAUCUUGAGGGGGUGGCGCCGUAAAGGUGUGCGAGUUCGAAUCUCGUCCCGGGCAC